rnacentral:tRNA from 1 species
GGGAAUGUGGCUUAGUGGUAGAGUACUUGCCUAGCAUGCAUGAAGCCCUGGGUUUGAUUCCUCAGUACCA